rnacentral:rRNA from 1 species
GACGAACGCUGGCGGCGUGCUUAACACAUGCAAGUCGAGCGGUAAGGCCCUUUCGGGGGUACGACGAGCGGCGAACGGGUGAGUAACACGUGGGUGACCUGCCCUCAGCUCUGGGAUAAGCCUGGGAAACCGGGUCUAAUACCGGAUGUGACUCCAUGACGCAUGUUGUGGGGUGGAAAGCCUUGUGCGGCUGAGGAUGGGCCCGCGGCCUAUCAGCUUGUUGGUGGGGUGAUGGCCUACCAAGGCGACGACGGGUAGCCGGCCUGAGAGGGCGACCGGCCACACUGGGACUGAGACACGGCCCAGACUCCUACGGGAGGCAGCAGUGGGGAAUCUUGCGCAAUGGGCGAAAGCCUGACGCAGCGAUGCCGCGUGAGGGA